UUUAUAGUUAGAAAAGCAAAGCCUCUUUAUUUUGACAUACGUUUCUUCCAUUACUCUCCUUGCUCCCUUAGACCUGCUUCCUGCAGUCGGCCCUCAAAUUAUCUGCAUCCUAGGCCUUGUCUUAGCCAUUGCAUUUAGGGAAAUCCAAACUAAGAAAGCAUGUAGAGAGUGGCCCUAGAAAAUAGAAGCUACCUGUAGCUACUUGUAGGUCUGAACCUACAAACCUCAGGAUAGAAUUCCGGUACGGGAUCAUUCACCCACCAAAUAGUAACAAGGACCUCAUUUCUAGUGGUAAGUGGGUUGAUGGUAACCCUUGGUGUGCUGUAGUAUUAGGAUUAAGACUCUUACCUGUGAUGGGUUAAGAUGAGGAACAGGUGGAAAGGGAAAUGUUGGUUUAUACAGUAGCUUUAGCUGGUCAUAUGUAUGUAUAUAUAAAAUCUCCACAAACAGCUAGUCUGAUAGACAAUUGGAAUAGCCUAUUAAAGUUUCAGCUAAAGUGAUAUUUGGAGGAUGAUACCCUGCAAACAUGAGAUACUGUCCUCCAGAAUAAAUUGCAUGCAGUAAAUCAAUGAUUUAUGGGUCUGUGUCCACAACAGCUAGGAUACAUGAGUCUUCAACACUGUAUAAGCUUCCUAUUACCACAAAACUUCAAUCCAUAUUGUG
rnacentral:lncRNA from 1 species